rnacentral:rRNA from 1 species
AUUGAACGCUGGCGGCAGGCCUAACACAUGCAAGUCGAGCGAGCGGCGGACGGGUGAGUAAUGUAUGGGGACUGCCCGAUAGAGGGGGAUAACUACUGGAAACGGUGGCUAAUACCGCAUACUAUCGGAUAACCCAUAUGGGAUUAGCUAGUAGGUGGGGUAAAGGCUCACCUAGGCGACGAUCUCUAGCUGGUCUGAGAGGAUGAUGGGCCAAACUGGGACUUAGACACGUCCCGGACUCUUAGGGGGGCGGCAGGGGGGAAUAUUGCCCAAUGGGCGCAAGCCUGAUGCAGCAAUGCCGCGUGUAGGAAGAAGGCCUUGGGGUUGUAAAGUACUUUCAGCGGGGAGGCGGUACCCGCAGAAGAAGCACCGGCUAACUACGUGCCAGCAGCCGCGGUAAUUC